rnacentral:rRNA from 1 species
CAGCCGCCGCGGGAAUACGUAGGGUGCAAGCGUUAAUCGGAAUUACUGGGCGUAAAGUGUGCGCAGGCGGUUUGUUAAGACAGAUGUGAAAUCCCCGGGCUCAACCUGGGAAUGGCAAUGGAUACUGGCAAGCUAGAGUGUGUCAGAGGAUGGUGGAAUUCCCGGUGUAGCGGUGAAAUGCGUAGAGAUCGGGAGGAACAUCAGUGGCGAAGGCGGCCAUCUGGGACAACACUGACGCUGAGGCACGAAAGCGUGGGGAGCAAACAGGAUUAGAUACCCCUGUAGUCCCUGUCUCUUAUAC